ACCAGGGACUCAGAGCCAGAGUGAAACCAUUGUGAUUCAGUAACUAUGCAGCACCUUGGACGAUGUAGAGUCCAGCAACUAGUUCUGGUUGUUAACUGGGCAGAUCACUACAAUCUUAAAGCGUGAUUCAUAGAUGCUGAAUAGAUUAAGGUCUGGUUACUAUGGUGCCCGAGACACAUCUUCAGGGAGGCUCUUCUGAUUCUUUUCAAUGCAUAUCUGCCAUUUAUCCCCAUUAGAAGUUUUGUUUAA